rnacentral:rRNA from 1 species
GAUGAACGCUAGCGGGAGGCCUAACACAUGCAAGCCGAGCGGUAUUGUUUCUUCGGAAAUGAGAGAGCGGCGUACGGGUGCGUAACACGUGUGCAACCUGCCUUUAUCUGGGGGAUAGCCUUUCGAAAGGAAGAUUAAUACUCCAUAACAUAUUGAACGGCAUCGUUUAAUAUUGAAAGCUCCGGCGGAUAGAGAUGGGCACGCGCAAGAUUAGCUAGUUGGUGAGGUAACGGCUCACCAAGGCGAUGAUCUUUAGGGGGCCUGAGAGGGUGAACCCCCACACUGGAACUGAGACACGGACCAGACUCCUACGGGAGGCAGCAGUGAGGAAUAUUGGUCAAUGGGUGCAAGCCUGAACCAGCCAUCCCGCGUGAAGGACGACUGCCCUAUGGGUUGUAAACUUCUUUUGUAUAGGGAUAAACCUACCCUCGUGAGGGUAGCUGAAGGUACUAUACGAAUAAGCACCGGCUAACUCCGUGCCAGCCGCCGCGGUAA